UACGUAGGGUGCGAGCGUUGUCCGGAAUUAUUGGGCGUAAAGAGCUCGUAGGUGGUUUGUCGCGUUGUUCGUGAAAACCGGGGGCUUAACCCUCGGCGUGCGGGCGAUACGGGCAGACUUGAGUACUGCAGGGGAGACUGGAAUUCCUGGUGUAGCGGUGGAAUGCGCAGAUAUCAGGAGGAACACCGGUGGCGAAGGCGGGUCUCUGGGCCGAUACUGACGCUGAGGAGCGAAAGCAUGGGUAGCGAACAGG
rnacentral:rRNA from 1 species